UACGUAGGGAGCAAGCGUUGUCCGGAAUCAUUGGGCGUAAAGCGCGCGUAGGUGGCUCUAUAAGUCCGUUGUGAAAGUCAAAGGCUCAACCUUUGAAAGCCGAUGGAUACUGUAGAGCUAGAGUCCGGAAGAGGCGAGUGGAAUUCCUGGUGUAGCGGUGGAAUGCGCAGAUAUCAGGAGGAACACCGGUGGCGAAGGCGGGUCUCUGGGCAGUAACUGACGCUGAGGAGCGAAAGCGUGGGGAGCGAACAGG
rnacentral:rRNA from 1 species